rnacentral:rRNA from 1 species
UACGUAGGGUGCGAGCGUUAAUCGGAAUUACUGGGCGUAAAGCGUGCGCAGGCGGUUGCUGAAGUCCGUUGUGAAAGCCCCGGGCUUAACCUGGGAAUGGCAGUGGAAACUAGGCGACUUGAAUCUGGCAGAGGGGGGUGGAAUGCCACGUGUAGCAGUGAAAAUGCGUAGAGAUGUGGCGGAACACCGAUGGCGAAGGCAGCCCCCUGGGUCGAGAUUGACGCUCAGGCACGAAAGCGUGGGGGAGCAAACAGG